CCCUUAGAUGUCCGGGGCCGCACGCGCGCUACACUGAAGGAAUCAGCGUGGCUUCCUCCCUGACCCGAAAGGGUUGGGAAACCCGUUGAAUCUCCUUCGUGAUAGGGAUUGGGGCUUGAAAUUGUUCCCCAUGAACGAGGAAUUCCCAGUAAGCGCGAGUCAUAAGCUCGCGUUGAUUACGUCCCUGCCCUUUGUACACACCGCCCGUCGCUACUACCGAUUGAACGGUUUAGUGAGGGCCUCGGAUUGGUCUCGGCCCGCUCUUUACCGGGCGGCGCCGUUGGUCGAGAAGACGCUCGAACUUGAUCGUUUAGAGGAAGUAAAAGUCGUAACA
rnacentral:rRNA from 1 species